GAUGAACGCUGGCGGCGUGCCUAAUACAUGCCAGUCGAGCGAACAGACGAGGAGCUUGCUCCUCUGACGUUAGCGGCUGACGGGUGAGUAACACGUGGAUAACCUACCUAUAAGACGGGGAUAACUUCGGGAAACCGGAGCUAAUACCGGAUAAUAUAUUGAACCGCAUGGUUCAAUAGUGAAAGACGGUUUUGCUGUCACUUAUAGAUGGAUCCGCGCCGCAUUAGCUAGUUGGUAAGGUAACGGCUUACCAAGGCAACGAUGCGUAGCCGACCUGAGAGGGUGAUCGGCCACACUGGAACUGAGACACGGUCCAGACUCCUACGGGAGGCAGCAGUAGGGAAUAUUCCGCAAUGGGCGAAAGCCUGACGGAGCAACGCCGCGUGAGUGAUGAAGGUCUUCGGAUCGUAAAACUCUGUUAUUAGGGAAGAACAAAUGUGUAAGUAACUAUGCACGUCUUGACGGUACCUAAUCAGAAAGCCACGGCUAACUACGUG
rnacentral:rRNA from 1 species